GAUGAACGCUGGCGGCGUGCCUAAUACAUGCAAGUCGAGCGAACGGACGAGAAGCUUGCUUCUCUGAUGUUAGCGGCGGACGGGUGAGUAACACGUGGAUAACCUACCUAUAAGACUGGGAUAACUUCGGGAAACCGGAGCUAAUACCGGAUAAUAUUUUGAACCGCAUGGUUCAAAAGUGAAAGACGGUCUUGCUGUCACUUAUAGAUGGAUCCGCGCUGCAUUAGCUAGUUGGUAAGGUAACGGCUUACCAAGGCAACGAUGCAUAGCCGACCUGAGAGGGGGACGGGCACAAUGGGAAUGGGGACAGGUCCCAGCACCCAAGGGAGGGAGAAGUUAGGGAUUUUUCCGAAGGGGGGGAAACCCUGAAGGGGAAACGCCGGGUGAGGGAGAAGGGGCUUCGGAUUGUAAAACUCUUUUAUUGGGGAAAAACAUUUGUGGAAGAAACUGUGCCAAUUUUAACGGUACCAAAUCAGAAAGCCACGGCAAACUAGGG
rnacentral:rRNA from 1 species